AACACAUGCAAGUCGAGGGGCAGCACGGGUGUAGCAAUACACCGGGUGGCGACCGGCGCACGGGUGAGUAACGCGUAUGCAACUUGCCCAUCAGAGGGGCACAGCCCAUCGAAAGAUGGAUUAAUGCCCCAUGAAACAGGGGCCCCGCAUGGGGAUAUUUGUUAAAGGAGCGAUCCGCUGAUGGAUAGGCAUGCGUUCCAUUAGGCAGUUGGCGGGGUAACGGCCCACCAAACCGACGAUGGAUAGGGGUUCUGAGAGGAAGGUCCCCCACAUUGGUACUGAGACACGGACCAAACUCCUACGGGAGGCAGCAGUGAGGAAUAUUGGUCAAUGGCCGGAAGGCUGAACCAGCCAAGUCGCGUGGAGGAAGAAGGAUCUAUGGUUUGUAAACUUCUUUUGUGCGGGGGUAAAGGGCGGUAUGUAUACCGCAUUGAAAGUACCGCACGAAUAAGCAUCGGCUAACUCCGUGCCAGCAGCCGCGGUAAUACGGAGGAUGCGAGCGUUAUCCGGAUUUAUUGGGUUUAAAGGGUGCGUAGGCGGCCUGUUAAGUCAGCGGUGAAAGGUUGUCGCUCAACGAUGAAAUUGCCGUUGAAACUGGCGGGCUAGAGUACGGACGAGGUAUGCGGAAUGCGUGGUGUAGCGGUGAAAUGCAUAGAUUU
rnacentral:rRNA from 1 species